rnacentral:misc_RNA from 1 species
UACUUAUUCCAUUACUUGGAG